rnacentral:rRNA from 1 species
UACGUAGGGGGCGAGCGUUGUCCGGAUUUAUUGGGCGUAAAGAGCGUGUAGGCGGCCAGGUAGGUCCGCUGUGAAAACUCGAGGCUCAACCUCGAGAUGUCGGCGGAAACCAUCUGGCUAGAGUCCGGAAGAGGAGAGUGGAAUUCCUGGUGUAGCGGUGAAAUGCGCAGAUAUCAGGAAGAACACCCGUGGCGAAGGCGGCUCUCUGGGACGGUACUGACGCUGAGACGCGAAAGCGUGGGGAGCGAACAGG